AUUGAACGCUGGCGGCAGGCCUAACACAUGCAAGUCGAGCGGAGCGGCGGACGGGUACGUAAUGCCUAGGAAUCUUCCUGGUAGUGGGGGAUAACGUCCGGAAACGGGCGCUAAUACCGCAUACUAUCAGAUGAGCCUAGGUCGGAUUAGCUAGUGGGUGGGUUAAAGGCCUACCAAGGCGACGAUCGGUAACGGGUCUGAGGGGAGGAUCAGUCACACUGGAACUGGAACCCGGCCCAGACUCCUACGGAAGGAAGCAGUGGGGAAUAUUGGAAAAUGGGCGAAGGCCUGAGGCAGCACUGCGGCGGGUGUGUGGAAGGUUUUCGGAUUGAAAAGCACGUUAAGUUGGGAGGCGUUACCAACAGAAUAAGCAACGGCUAACUUCGUGCCAGCCGCCGCGGUAAUAC
rnacentral:rRNA from 1 species